UACGUAGGGUGCAAGCGUUAAUCGGAAUUACUGGGCGUAAAGCGCGCGUAGGCGGUUUUUUAAGUCAGAGGUGAAAGCCCAGUGCUCAACACUGGAACUGCCUUUGAAACUGGAAAACUUGAAUCUUGGAGAGGUCAGUGGAAUUCCGAGUGUAGAGGUGAAAUUCGUAGAUAUUCGGAAGAACACCAGUGGCGAAGGCGACUGACUGGACAAGUAUUGACGCUGAGGUGCGAAAGCGGGGGGAGCAAACAGG
rnacentral:rRNA from 1 species